rnacentral:rRNA from 1 species
GAAAAGAACCCCGGGAGGGGAGUGAAAUAGAACCUGAAACCCUAUGUUUACAAGCAGACAAAGCACGUUAAGGUGCGAUGUCGUACUUUUUGUAGAACGGUCCGGCGAGUUAUUUUAUAUGGCAAGGUUAAGUACUAAAGGUACGGAGCCGAAGAGAAAUCGAGUCUGAAGAGGGCGAAUAAGUCAUAUGAAAUAGACCCGAAACCGAGUGACCUAUCCAUGUCCAGGCUGAAGCUUGAGUAAAAUCAAGUGGAGGGCCGAACUCAUAGACGUUAAAAAGUCUCGGGAUGAGGUGUGGAUAGCGGAGAAAUUCCAAUCGAACUCGGAGAUAGCUGGUUCUCCUCGAAAUAGUUUUAGGACUAGCCUUGUUUCGUAGCAUUUGGGGGUAGAGCACUGAAUGAGGUAGGGGCCAACACGGUUACUGAACUCUAUCAAACUACGAAUACCAAAUGUGUAAGAACAAGAGUCAGACUGCGGGAGCUAAGUUCCGUGGUCAAAAGGGAAAGAGCCCAGAUCGUCAAUUAAGGUCCCAAAGAUAUAGUUAAGUGGAAAACGAUGUGAUUUUGCGUAAACAACCAGGAUGUUGGCUUAGAAGCAGCCAUUCAUUCAAAGAGUGCGUAAUAGCUCACUGGUCGAGUGAAGUUGCGCGGAAAAUUACCGGGGCUAAACUAUACACCGAAAUUGCGGAUUUGCAUAGAAAUAUGUAAGUGGUAGAGGAGCAUUCUAUAGUAGGACGAAGCAUAAUCGAAAGGAUAUGUGGACGAGAUAGAAGAGAGAAUGCCGGAAUAAGUAGCGAAAGCAUGGUGAGAAUCCAUGCCAUCGAAAGUCUAAGGUUUCCUGGGGAAGGUUCGUCCGCCCAGGGUAAGUCGGGACCUAAGGAGAGGCCGAAAAGCGUAUCCGAUGGACAGCAGGUAGAAAUUCCUGCACUACGUAAUACUUAAAAGACAUAAAUGACACAGGAGUGGAAGAUAAGCGAGGAAGAGGAAAGACUCGUAUCGAAAGAUAUAGUGAAAAUUAAAGUAACGAAUUAUCAAGAAGCUAAUGGCGAGAAAAGUUUAUGGAUAUUGUAUUAAGUACCCGUACCGCAAACCGACACAGGUAGAUGAGGAGAAGAUCCUAAGAUGAGCGAGAGAAGCAUUGUUAAGGAACUCGGCAAACUGACCCCGUAACUUCGGAAUAAGGGGUGCUGGAGUAGAAUCCAGUCGCAGAGAAUAGUCCCAAGCAACUGUUUAACAAAAACACAGGUUUCUGCUAAAUCGAAAGAUGAAGUAUAGGAGCUGACACCUGCCCAGUGCUGGAAGGUUAAGGGAAAGGGUUAGGAGUAAUCCGAAGCUUAGAACUAAAGCCCCAGUGAACGGCGGCCGUAACUAUAACGGUCCUAAGGUAGCGAAAUUCCUUGUCAGGUAAGUUCUGACCCGCACGAAAGGUGUAAUGAUUUGGGAGCUGUCUCGACAAUGUACUCGGCGAAAUUGUAGUACUAGUGAAGAUGCUAGUUACCUGCGACAAGACAGAAAGACCCCAUGGAGCUUUACUGCAGCUUGAUACUGGGUUUCGGUAAUUUAUGUACAGGAUAGGUGGGAUGCUAAGAAGUAUGUGCGCCAGCGCAUAUGGAGCAGACGUUGGGAUACCACCCUUAAAUUACUGGAAUUCUAACUAUAAGUCCUAAGCGGGCUUGAGGACAAUGUCAGGCGGGCAGUUUGACUGGGGCGGUCGCCUCCUAAAGAGUAACGGAGGCGCGCAAAGGUUUCCUCAGCGCGGACAGAAAUCGCGCGAAAGAGUGCAAAGGCAGAAGGAAGCUUAACUGAGAGACAGACAUGUCGAUCAGAUACGAAAGUAGGUCUUAGUGAUCCGGUGGUUGUAAGUGGAAAUGCCAUCGCUCAACGGACAAAAGUUACCCUGGGGAUAACAGGCUUAUCUCCCCCAAGAGUUCACAUC